rnacentral:piRNA from 1 species
UAGGAUGUUAUACUGAGAGUGGGAAUUCUCU